AAGUCGUAACAAGGUUUCCGUAGGUGAACCUGCGGAAGGAUCAUUAUUGAAUUGAACCGCCUUGGGUUGUUGCUGGUGCUCCCUUCGGGGGGGUGCAUGUGCACGCCCAGGCCCUUCAUUUUCCACCUGUGCACUUUUGUAGGCAGCUCUGCGCCUCGGUUGAUCGUCUGUUCUCGCACGCCUCGCAAGAGGUGCUGCGGUUAGGGACUUGGCUCCUCGAGCCUUGUCCUGGGACUUUCAGCCUCGCAGGGAGCUGUCUACGUUACUCUAUAAACACGUUUGUAUGUCUAGAAAGUCCAUUACUGGUCGGAAGACCUUUAAUCUUACACAACUAUUGACAACGGAUCUCUUGGCUCAC
rnacentral:misc_RNA from 1 species